AUUGAACGCUGGCGGCAUGCCUUACACAUGCAAGUCGAACGGCAGCACGGGUGCUUGCCCCUGGUGGCGAGUGGCGAACGGGUGAGUAAUACAUCGGAACAUGUCCUGUAGUGGGGGAUAGCCCGGCGAAAGCCGGAUUAAUACCGCAUACGAUCUACGGAUGAAAGCGGGGGACCUUCGGGCCUCGCGCUAUAGGGUUGGCCGAUGGCUGAUUAGCUAGUUGGUGGGGUAAGGCCUACCAAGGCGACGAUCAGUAGCUGGUCUGAGAGGACGACCAGCCACACUGGGACUGAGACACGGCCCAGACUCCUACGGGAGGCAGCAGUGGGGAAUUUUGGACAAUGGGCGAAAGCCUGAUCCAGCAAUGCCGCGUGUGUGAAGAAGGCCUUCGGGUUGUAAAGCACUUUUGUCCGGAAAGAAAUCCUUGGCCCUAAUACGGUCGGGGGAUGACGGUACCGGAAGAAUAAGCACCGGCUAACUACGUG
rnacentral:rRNA from 1 species